CUCGUCCCCCUUAAUGCCUCCUUGAGCUUAAUCUGCAGCAGAUUAAGGUCCUCAAUAUCACACCUUUGUGAAGUGAUUGACCCAUAAAUUGUUUGUGUAAUUCCAACAAUAUCAAAAUCUUUUGAAACCCAAAUCCAUGCUUGGAGGUCAAAAUGGUUCUUCACUCUAAUAUCAUUGUUUACAGACUGAGCAAGCUCUGUCUUCCCAAUCCCAGUCCUGCCCAGAAUUGGAAUCACCCUUACACGAUUUGAGGUGGAUGUCGACGCAUCGUCUGAUAAUAGUAACUUGACAAUGAUCUCCUUGUCUUCGUCCCUUCCAUACAACACACCAGAGUCCUCUUGCAAAGAUGUUGUGGCUUCUUCCAGCCUGCGUCGCAGAGCUUCGGAGCCUAUCUCCUUGAGCAAGCUGUCUGCUUCAUUA
rnacentral:lncRNA from 1 species